GGAGCCGGGAAGAUGGCCGCUCCGCGUGUUUACGCGGGGAGGAAAGUCCGAACUCCCCAGGGCAGUGCGCUGGGUAACCCCCAGUCCCGGUGACGGGAAGGAAAGUGCCACAGAAAAGAUACCGCCCCGGAAUGCCUCUGGCGCGCCGGGGUAAGGGUGAAAUGGUGCGGUAAGAGCGCACCAGUAUCCCGGGUGACCGGGAUAGCUUGGUAAACCCCGCACGGAGCAAGACCAAAUAGGGGGGUGAGUGGAGUGGCCCGCUCCCAUACCUCCGGGUAGGUCGCUUGACCCCGAGAGCAAUCGAGGGGCCAGAUGAAUGGUCAUCACCUCGUUUCAUUCGAGGAACAGAAUUCGGCUUACUCCCGACUCCGGCC
rnacentral:RNase_P_RNA from 1 species